rnacentral:rRNA from 1 species
UACAGAGGUCCCAAGCGUUGUUCGGAUUCACUGGGCGUAAAGGGUGCGCAGGUGGGUUGGCAAGUUUGAUGUGAAAGCCCCGGGCUUAACCCGGGAAUGGCAUUGAAUACUGCUGAUCUGGAGGAUCGGAGGGGGGACUGGAAUUCUUGGUGUAGCAGUGAAAUGCGUAGAUAUCAAGAGGAACACCAGUGGCGAAGGCGAGUCCCUGGACGAUACCUGACGCUGAGGUGCGAAAGCGUGGGGAGCAAACAGG